AGAGUUUGAUCCUGGCUCAGGGUGAACGCUGGCGGCGCGCUUAAUGCAUGCAAGUCGAGCGUGAUCGUGGCUUCGGCCACAAUGAUAAAGCGGCAGACGGCUGAGUAACGCGUGAGUAAUCUGCCCUCCGGUGGGGUAUAACCUCGGGAAACUGAGGAUAAUCCCGCAUACGACCUGCAUCCCUUGGGGUGCAGAUGAAAGGCUUCGGUCGCCGGAGGAGGAGCUCGCGGCCCAUCAGCUAGUUGGUGAGGUAAUGGCUCACCAAGGCAACGACGGGUAGCUGGUCUGAGAGGACGAUCAGCCACACUGGAACUGAGAUACGGUCCAGACUCCUACGGGAGGCAGCAGCAGGGAAUCUUGCGCAAUGGGCGAAAGCCUGACGCAGCGACGCCGCGUGGGGGAUGAAGGCCUUAGGGUUGUAAACCCCUUUCACGAGGGAAGAAACUGACGGUACCUCGAGAAGAAGCCCCGGCCAACUACGUGCCAGCAGCCGCGGUAAUACCUAGGUGUCGAGCGUUAUCCGGAAUUACUGGGCGUAAAGGGUGCGCAGGCGGCGAUACAAGUCUGGCGUGAAAGCUUCUGGCUUAACUGGGAGAGGACGUUAGAAACUGUAUGGCUAGAGUGAAUGAGAGGGGGGCGGAAAUCCCGGUGUAGUGGUGGAAUGCGUAGAUAUCGGGAAGAACACCAGAGGCGAAGGCGGCCUCCUGGCAUUUUACUGACGCUGAGGCACGAAAGCGUGGGUAGCGAACGGGAUUAGAUACCCCGGUAGUCCACGCUGUAAACGAUGUGAACGAGGUGUGGGCGGUGUAGAAGCCGUCUGUGCCGCAGCUAACGCAAUAAGUAUCCCGCCUGAGGAGUACGGCCGCAAGGCUAAAACUCAAAGGAAUUGACGGGGACCCGCACAAGCAGCGGAUCGUGUGGUUUAAUUCGAUGAUAAGCGAAGAACCUUACCAGGGCUUGAAAUGCUUCUGACCGGCUGUGAAAGCAGCCUUUCCUUCGGGACAGUUGCACAGAUGUUGCAUGGCUGUCGUCAGCUCGUG
rnacentral:rRNA from 1 species